ANAGUUUGAUGCUGGCUCAGAACGAACGCUGGCGGCGUGCUUAACACAUGCAAGUCGAACGAGAAAGCUUCCUUCGGGAAGUGAGUAGAGUGGCGCACGGGUGAGUAACGCGUAGGUAAUCUACCCUUAUAUCCGGGAUAACCGACCGAAAGGUUGGCUAAUACCGGAUACACUUUAAAUGUCGCGAGGUAUUUAGAGGAAAGGUGACCUCUGAUCAAGUUACCGUAUAGGGAUGAGCCUGCGUACCAUUAGCUAGUUGGUGGGGUAAAGGCCUACCAAGGCGACGAUGGUUAGCGGGUCUGAGAGGAUGAUCCGCCACACUGGAACUGGAACACGGACCAGACUCCUACGGGAGGCAGCAGUGAGGAAUAUUGCGCAAUGGGGGCAACCCUGACGCAGCGACGCCGCGUGGGUGAGGAAGGUUUUCGGAUCGUAAAGCCCUGUCAGGUGGGAAGAAGUGUUAUACGGUUAAUACCCGUAUAAUUUGACGGUACCACCAGAGGAAGCACCGGCUAACUCCGUGCCAGCAGCCGCGGUAAUACGGAGGGUGCGAGCGUUGUUCGGAAUUACUGAGCGUAAAGGGCGCGUAGGCGGCCUGAUAAGUCAGAUGUGAAAGCCCACGGCUCAACCGUGGAAGUGCAUCUGAAACCGUCUGGCUUGAGUAUUGGAUGGGAAAGUGGAAUUCCAGGUGUAGAGGUGAAAUUCGUAGAUAUCUGGAGGAACACCGGUGGCGAAGGCGACUUUCUGGACAAAUACUGACGCUGAGGCGCGAAAGCGUGGGGAGCAAAC
rnacentral:rRNA from 1 species